AGGGAGUAGGGCUAGGAUCAUGGGAAAUUAGAGUGCUGCUGGUUCCAUGGUUUUCCUUUUAAAAAAAAAAAAAAACCUGAAAACACUUCUCUGACAUUUCUGCUAUCUCUGUGUGCAGGUAGGCAAGCGUGCAUGCACACCAAAUAUGAACAUAUGUGUGAGGGAAGCAGGAGCUGUUUUAGAACCUAAGAACGAUGUUUUACUGUUUCUCUGAUGAGAAACAACUUGGCAGUGAUGCCCACCCACCAUUCCGGCUUGAGUAAGGGAAGGAUGGUAAGAGGGAGGGCAGAUCAGGUUUAGCCAUCUUCCCUCACUGCUGUCUUCCAUAGCAUGUUUUCAAGGGCCUCUCAAGCCCCAUCUGUCUGGUUUAGCCUAAGUCCUCAAUCUAGGGGAUAUAGUACUAUGUAAUGAUUCAGGAUUACCACUUGUAGUAAUGCUUGACUUGCUGUCUCAGUAUCUUUGUAGAUAGAAAUUCAACAGAGAUUAGCCGCUGAAGUGAGAAAGUAAGUGAGCCAUGUUGGAUCCAUGUCAUUUUCAAAUUAGAUAUCUGCAGAGUUCUCACUGCCUCCAGUUACGCUUCUCAAGCAUCUGUCUUAAGCAUCUUCUGACUUUAGGAUGUCUCUGGUCCUUAGAACUCUAUUCCCUAGGAACUAGUGUGUAGAAUCUCUAUAUACUUGUGAUUCACAACUAAAUAUGAACAUUUCCCACUCCAGGACAUGAAGCAAGUAGCUGGGGUAACAUUUUGCUGAUAGGUUGAAACACUCAACCAAGAUUUUAACAGUCUGGGUGGGACUGUCACUCCCACAGCAGUCAGAGCAAGGCACUCUUGUCUGUGCAUGCCUGGCAUCGCUCUGAAUUGAGUCCUCAUCCGUUGGGAGAAGGUCUUCUGGGGCUUUACAUUCCUGUUUCUCUGUUCAUAACCCCCUUGUGCUUCCCAGUCCCCUGUGAUUCUACAGGAGACCCGUCUCUCCUCUUUGAGCGGUGGCCUCCUGUGCACCCAGCUCAGUGACUCUCCUUGCACCAAAACUCCUGAGAGAAGAACAGCUCCCACCUUUAGAUCCCUAGCAGACUUUCUGGCCCUCGGCAGACGGUUUCCAAGAAAGAAAUCUGCACCUCAUGGUCUGUCUGAGAAGGGUAUGCUCUCUAAUCCCUCACUGCAGACUCUCCUUCUGACUGACUUCUGCCCUGUAUAUUCCACUGUGACCCCUUUGCGUGUGUUCUGUGCCACUGGCUUGGCUCUAGUCCUUUUAUGAAUACCCUAGUCUUACCGAUGAACUUGCUGAGCAGGCAGAGUCCACCUUCUCUGCGCUUCGGGGACUUGGUCUCCUUUCCUCUCUCAGAGGUCUGUUUGCUGUCAUAAUCUAGUGCGUUGGGGAGAGGUAACUAGACAGGCUGUAGUGAUGGGCCGGGGGAGAUCUGAGUACUCCGUUACCACUAUUGGGAUAAUAUUCAGAAGAGGGGAUCUCAUACUGUGACCUGACCUAAGGCCCUCCCCUGGAAGAGAGCUCAGUCCAGGUUUGUGUGUGUGUGUGUGUGUGUGUGUGGUAGAGUGUGUGUGCGUACAUGUGCUUAUGUGCACAUGGGUAUAACCUGACUUAUCUGGUUGUGUUACUCAGGGUGGGCUGGGGACUCAACAGAAGAAUCCCCUCAGCCUGCCUGCCUGUGUUUUUCCUGUACCCUCUCCAGAGGGGUUGGGGAAGGGGGUCCAGGGUGGGUUGAGGGGGUCGCAAUGGAUAACCACUAAGGCCACACUGCUGCCAGGGGGAGUCAGGGGGAGAUGAGGUGGCCCCAGGGACCUGGCACCUGGCUUUGGUUUUCCGUCUUCUUUCCUCAGGACGCCCCCUGAGGCCUGGGACCUGCGCCUGGCUUUGAGGAGCACCUGUAGCUGAGUGCUCCGGCUGCUGGUGUGAUCACGGGCUUCCCUCCUCUCUCAGCAGGGCAGGUGCUCCUGCCCUAGAGACUGGGCAACUGGCUGUUUCUAUGACGUAUUUAUUUUUACUUGUGUUUCAUGUCACUUUUUUAAAAAAAAGCAAACAGAACAAUUGUAAGUCAGUAUAACUGCCUAUCAGUUUUCUUUAUUUCUCUUUUUGUAAAAUAAAAUGUAAACUGAAGAA
ensembl:lncRNA